rnacentral:lncRNA from 1 species
GGAAACGUCAUUUUUACUCUCGCUGCAAGUGACAGCGAUCCUGAAGAUGCCGGUCUGUUGACUGUAGCACAUACAGGGAGCACUGGAUUUGCUUCAACUUUCUUUGAACUCGACUCUACCACUUGUAAGGCAUCAAUAUCAAAAAUCGUAAUUUAAAGAUUUGGAAGACACAAUUAAAAAAUGUCCUUUUUCAUCAGAUAUUUUCAAAUCAAAAAUGUAUUUAUUAUUAAUAAAAAAAAGACACACUUGGGGGAGUUUUAAAAGGUACUCCUUUAGAAUAAUAAGAUUGUGCAAUUGUAAUGGAGAACUUUCUAAAGGAAUCUGGGACUGUUAAUGUAUGCAUUUAAUCUUUAUAUUAUCAUAUUGUUAUAGGCUAGCUAUUUGUAGAACAAAAACGUGUGCAGGUGGUGUAAGUAAGCGAUAUAUGUAUAGGAAAUAAUACAAACUCAUAUCACUUUUACAAAACCAAGCCCAAGAUUUUGAAAUGUUUGAUGAGUCUCUUAAUCUGUUGCAUCCAUUUAGACCAACGGAAGUUGUCAAUACAGCAACGCUUGUUUUGUUCAAUAAAUACCCACGCCGGAAAUGGAAUCAAAGAUAUAUAAAAAUUUGAAGCGAAAUUAGUAUCAUACAUUUGGAACAAGUGAAAGGCUCUGUGCAAUGCUAGAACGCUCAACGAUCGCAGUACUUUCCUUACAAGUUAAAGUCAGAGCUAAGAAAUAACAUAAACGGUACCAAUUUACUGCACCAAUUGCACAUUUCGACAAUCAAUGUCUCUUCAGUCAUGCUCGAAACAAAAAUAUUUCAAAAGCUUAUUAAGAUGAAGAGCUAUUAACCAAAAAGGACCAAAACGUAUAUACAAAGCCGGGAAAGGAAUCAGAGCUUUGCAUGAUGGAGAUACAUUCCUUAAUUUCAAAUAAUUUCCCAAAUUUUGUAACAGCAAAUUUUAAUAACACAAAAUCCACAUUUUCAUGCCAGUACCGAAGUACUGGCUACUGGGCUGGUGAUACCCUCGGGGACUAUCAGUCCACCAUCAGAGGCAUCGACCCAGUGGUAGUAAUAACAUAAACGGUACCAAUUUUUCUGCACCAGAUGCGCAUUUUGACAAUUAAUGUCUCUUCAGUGAUGCUCGAGGCAAAAUAUUUCAAAAUCAAAAGCUUAUUAAAAAGAUGAAGAGCUAUAAACCAAAAAGGACCAAAAAGUAUAGCCAAAGCCGGGAAAGGAAUCAGAGCUUUGCACGAGGGAGAUACAUUCCUUAAUUAUACCCCGCUUUAAAAAAAAUAGGGUAUACUGUUUUACCUCUGUCUGUUCGUCCAUCCAUCCGUCCGUCAGUCCAUUCAUCCGUCCGUCCAUCCGUCCUUCCCAUGAAUAUUUUUCGUCGCAUCUUUCUCAGGAACUGCAUUACAAGGAUUUCUGAAAUUUGGUUUCAGGGUUUAUAUAAGUCAGCUAAACCGUGUGAUGCGUUUUCAGAUUCAUUACUCAACAACUUCCUGUUUACCGAACACUUACAUCAUUUUACACAUGACAUCCAAGUUGAAAAUUUUCGUAACCUUUUUCUCAGGAACUACAUUACAAGGAUUUCUGAAAUUUUGUUUCAGGGUUUAAAUAAGUCAGCUAUACCGUGUGAUGCGUUUUCAGAUUUAUCACUCAACAACUUCCUGUUCACCGAACACUUACAUAUUUUUACACUAUUAAGAUUAUCCACUUGCGGUGGGGGUAUCAUCAGUGAGCAGUAGCUCGUAGUUUCACUCAUUUUAAAUAAUUUCCAAAAUUUUGUAGCAAGAAAUUUUAAUAACACAAAAUCCACAUUUUUAUGCCAGUACCGAGGUACUGGCUACAGGGCUGGUGAUAACCUCGGGGACUAUCUGUCCACCAGCAGAGGCAUUGACUCAGUGGUAGUACAGUAAUAACAUAACCUGUACCAAUUUGUUGCACCAGAUGCGCAUUUUGACAAUCAAUGUCUCUUCAGUCAUGCUCGAGGCCAAAAUAUUUCAAAAUCAAAAGCUUAUUAAAAUGAUGAAGAGCUAUAAACAAAAAAGGACUCAAAAGUAUAGCCAAAGCCGGGAAAGGAAUCAGAGUUUUGCAUGAGGGAGAUACAUUCCUUAAUUUUAAAUAAUUUCGAAAAUUUUGUAACAGCAAAUUAUUAUAACACAAAAUCCGUAUUUUCAUGCCAGUACCGAAGUAAUGGCUACUGGGCUGGUGAUACCCUCGGGGAAAAUCAUUCGUUUAUAAUUAUUGACAAAAUAUUGUUCUCAUUAAGACAGAUUGAUCCUAUUGUCCUUAAAAUUAUAAAUUUCAUAUUUGUAUCUUUGCUUUGUAUUUAACGUGGUAUGAAAAUAACAUCACAACAAAAAUGUAAGAAGUUUAAAUCUAAGAGGCAAUAAUCUGAUAAAAUAUUCAGGAUAUUUCAUAGUUUUGUUUUUGCAUUUCUCGUAUCUACAAGAAAGAAACUAUACACAGGUAUUAAUAAUUAGAUACUUUUUUGUUACAAACAGGGGAAGUGCAAAUAAGGUCUGGUGUUUCCCUUUCCCCUGGAGACCAUGCAAUGACUUUUAGUGUAACAGAUCCAUGUUCAAGGUCAUCAUCUAGUACUCUGACGGUACGAGUAGAGAACGACGUAAGUAUAUUGAAUACUUCUGUUGGUUGUUAUCAUUUUAUACAAUAAUUAAACGCAUAAUCUAUUAAAUGACCGGGAUGUAAGUAAAACACAUGUAUGUAUACUGUCAGUACUUUUCAGAUUGUUGGUUAUCUGUGCAGUACCACUAAUAUUGGGGCCUGGCAGAAACACAUAACUAAAAUAGUACUUACUAAUGCAGAUUAAGUUGUUUACUGUAACUUUUAAGCUGUUAUAGAUAUUUAAACAAAUUUUGCGUCCUUAUUUUUAGAGAUACUUUAUUUAAAAAGUCCAUAAAUUUAGAUACCAUCUAUGGGAACUCAUUCAUCUUUUGAAAAAACGUAUUUUUAAAUGCUAUCGAGAUAAUACCAAGGUAUGAUAUUCGAGUAUUGUUUUUUUACCGGUAUUUACAUUUGAUAUAGGUUGUUGUUGAUAUCCUUAAACAUAACUCGAAAAGUAUUGUCGCCCAAGUAUGAAAUCUUAUGUUCCUACAUCCUGUCGAUAUGGUGCACUUAUAUUUGGCAUUGCACAAAGUAAUGAUUUUUUUCUCAGAACGUUUAUGACGUUUUGACUCUGGAUCUGUUAAAUUUGUUUCGAUUGAUACUUUGGUCUUGAAUAACAUGAUUUUUUUUGAGUUUUUUAACGGUACUUUGUGUAUUUUGUCUUUUUUGUUGUUCUGCUAAGUGCAGUAUGAAAUGCCAAGCCAUUUUCAACAGAUUUUUGCGAUUCGUUCAUAUGUUUUGUUGUUUCACCAGUGUCCCAUGUUUAACCCCGCCACAUUGUAUAUGCGAGUGUCCCAAGUAGCGAACGUGUAAUUCAGUGAUGUAGAAUAUGUCCAGAUAACUGACAUUGUUAUUGCAAAUUUGUAAAUAUAUGCUAUUUAUGAUUUAGAAUAUGCAAUAACAAGAAAAAAUUAGUAAAACUAUUGUUAAGCGUAUAAAAAGUUGCGAUAGUUGUAUAAAUGAAGUUGCGUGCAUUUUGUGGAUAAAUUGACACUAAUGGACAUGAAAUCGUGUCAUUACUGCAUGGAUACGUGACGCCAUUAUAUCAUAUUUGCAAUUAUCACGUCCUUCCCAUGAUCUAUUAGGCAUUUGGAUCAAAAGUUCAAAUUGCCGAUAAAUCACACCAUCAGAUAAACGGUGAAAGUAUUUGGGAUUAAAUAUUUCCUGGGUCAAAAUAUGAAACAUUGAAUUUUACAGCCACCAGUGAUAACAAGUCUGGCUACGAGCAGUUCGAUCACCAUAUCUGAAGACUUAAC